GUGCUCUCUUAGACAGUACAUAUACUAAAAUUGUAACUAUACAGAGAAGAUUGACAUGGCCCCUGCGCAUGUAUGACACACAAAUUUCUGAUGUGUUCUAUAUUUUU